GUUCACAAAAUUCGCAUUGCCAUGGUUCCCAAACCAACCUCAAGAGGAGACUAUAAAUACCAAGUGCCAUCCGGGUCUUAGAUGCACAACACAACGCUUAUAUUACUUACAACAAAAGAUAAGCCCACGAAUCAGUAGAUCGAGGUCCCGCCCAGUCCAGCAGAAGCGCACACGGAGAUGUCCCAGCUGAGCCCUGCUGGCCACAUGGCUGCGACGCUCCUCCUCAUCCUCCUGGCCUCCGCAGCAGCAGCAGCGGUGUCAGCUGACCAACAGGUCUCUGCCUGCCAGAAUGACAUAGACGCACUGUGGCGCAGCUGCAAGCAGUUCGUCCAGAAGGAGGGGCCCAAGAUGCCUCCGUCCGAGGACUGCUGCAAAACCAUCAAGGCCUUAGACGCGCACGCGUCCUGCAUCUGCGACUACGUCGGCUCCCCGGACGCCAGGAAUAAGCUAGACCUGGACAAGGUGUUCUUCGUUACCAAACAGUGCGGCGUCACCGUCCCCAAGGGCUGCGGUGAGUAUAAUAGCUUUAGCUGGGCAUGGCCAAUGAUCAUUUGAGAACGACAAUGACAUGCUGGCCCGCUCACAGUAGCAGCCAGAGAGGGUCCUGCAUGUCGAUGUCAGUCAGCUCAUGCUCCACGUGGCGUGAUCAUGGUGGAAUAAUAUUCUGUCAUCAAUCAGACAAGUAAACAGACAGGGAUAUUUACAAGCAUAUGAAAACAACCUACUCAGCAGCAACUCAUGUGAAGAUCAAGACUUGCUUACCUGUGACCUGAUGACUUUUUACCACUGCACCUGCACAAAAAAUAAACCGUUAGAUUUUUAGAUCUCAGGAUCAAAGCAGGACUGAAGAGCGGCUGAAUCUGAAUGGAGCAAGUUGGCUAACAUACGCACGGCAGCUACAAAUACUUAUAGGAAUAAAUAAAGUUGGUCAACUGUUGGUUUCAUGGUGUUGGAGUACAACAACUGUACUGUUCUUAUCCUCAUAUAUGAUAUAUGAACUCUAGUUCAUCACAUAAUAUAAAUCUGUAAGAGAGCCCAGAAACAUAGAUGGCUCAUGGGACAGCUGGAGAGGCUUAUUUUCUUUCUA